UACGAACUGUGCAAACGUUAUUCGGAAUCACUGGGCGUAAAGGGUGCGUAGGCGGGUCUUUAAGUCAGGGGUGAAAUCCUGGAGCUCAACUCCAGAACUGCCUUUGAUACUGAAGAUCUUGAGUUCGGGAGAGGUGAGUGGAACUGCGAGUGUAGAGGUGAAAUUCGUAGAUAUUCGCAAGAACACCAGUGGCGAAGGCGGCUCACUGGCCCGAUACUGACGCUGAGGCACGAAAGCGUGGGGAGCAAACAGG
rnacentral:rRNA from 1 species